GUGGGGAAUAUUGGACAAUGGGCGAAAGCCUGAUCCAGCCAUGCCGCGUGUGUGAAGAGGGUCUUCGGAUUGUAAAGCACUUUAAGUUGGGAGGAAGGGCAGUAAGUUAAUACCUUGCUGUUUUGACGUUACCGACAGAAUAAGCACCGGCUAACUUCGUGCCAGCAGCCGCGGUAAUACGAAGGGUGCAAGCGUUAAUCGGAAUUACUGGGCGUAAAGCGCGCGUAGGUGGUUUUGUAAGUUGGAGGUGAAAUCCCCGGGCUCAACCUGGGAACUGCCUCCAAAACUGCAUGACUAGAGUACGGUAGAGGGUAGUGGAAUUUCCUGUGUAGCGGUGAAAUGCGUAGAUAUAGGAAGGAACACCAGUGGCGAAGGCGACUACCUGGACUGAUACUGACACUGAGGUGCGAAAGCGUGGGGAGCAAACAGGAUUAGAAACCCUAGUAGUCC
rnacentral:rRNA from 1 species